UACGUAGGCAGCGAGCGUUGUUCGGAGUUACUGGGCGUAAAGCGUGCGCAGGUGGUCAUGCAAGACAGAUGUGAAAUCCCCGGGCUUAACCUGGGAACUGCAUUUGUGACUGCACGGCCAGAGUGCGGCAGAGGGGGAUGGAAUUCCGCGUGUAGCAGUGAAAUGCGUAGAUAUGCGGAGGAACACCGAUGGCGAAGGCAAUCCCCUGGGCCUGCACUGACGCUCAUGCACGAAAGCGUGGGGAGCGAACAGG
rnacentral:rRNA from 1 species